rnacentral:RNase_P_RNA from 3 species
AGAGUCGAUCGGACAGUCGCUGCCUGUUUUUGUUCCGCAACUUUUUUGUUGUGUGAGCAGCAGGGGGAGGAAAGUCCGGGCUCCAUAGGGCAGAGUGCCAGGUAACGCCUGGGAGGCGUGAGCCUACGGAAAGUGCCACAGAAAAUAACCGCCUAAGCACUUCGGUGCCGGUAAGGGUGAAAAGGUGCGGUAAGAGCGCACCGCACGGCUGGCAACAGUUCGUGGCUAGGUAAACCCCACUCGGAGCAAGACCAAAUAGGGUUCCAUCAGGCGUGGCCCGCGUCGGAACCGGGUAGGUUGCUAGAGGCGUCCAGUGAUGGCCGUCGUAGAGGAAUGACUGUCCUCGACAAAACCCGGCUUACAGAUCGACUCUCCAC